rnacentral:rRNA from 1 species
UGGGGAAUAUUGGACAAUGGGCGGAAGCCUGAUCCAGCAACGCCGCGUGAGGGAUGACGGCCUUCGGGUUGUAAACCUCUUUCAGUACCGACGAAGCGGAAGUGACGGUAGGUACAGAAGAAGCACCGGCCAACUACGUGCCAGCAGCCGCGGUAAUACGUAGGGUGCGAGCGUUGUCCGGAAUUAUUGGGCGUAAAGGGCUCGUAGGCGGUUUGUCGCGUCGGGAGUGAAAACACUGGGCUUAACUCAGUGCUUGCUUCCGAUACGGGCAGACUAGAGGCAUGCAGGGGAGAACGGAAUUCCUGGUGUAGCGGUGAAAUGCGCAGAUAUCAGGAGGAACACCGGUGGCGAAGGCGGUUCUCUGGGCAUGUCCUGACGCUGAGGAGCGAAAGUGUGGGGAGCGAACGGGAUUAGAUACCCUGGUAGUCCACACCGUAAACGUUGGGCGCUAGGUGUGGGGGCCUAUUCCAUGGGUUCCGUGCCGUAGCUAACGCAUUAAGCGCCCCCGCCUGGGGGAGUACGGCCGCAAGGCUAAAAACUCAAAGG